UGGGGCUCCAGGGUGCCCAGGCAUCAGGUGGUUCUUCUCUCCUGGCAUUUAUGCACAGCUGGCACUUCAGCAAGAACCUAAAGUCCCUCACGUCUAUUCUUCCUUUUUCCUGGGGGCAAAAUCACUUCCAGAUUGCUUCCUUUAAAUGGAGGCCAGUAAGGGGAUAGUGACACAGUAGACGCUUCUGUGCUGUAGCCCAAACACAUCUCUGCAGGAUGCCAGGGGGCUAGGGCCUGGGCACACCAGCUCCAGAGGCUCCAGGUGCUUUGCUGCAACUUCCUACAGGAGCUGAUCACCUAGACAUGCAGGAUACUACAAAUGAUGGAGCAGUGAAGCCACCAAGACGGAUCACCCUGUGGUAGAAAGUCCCAGGGAUCAAGCUCAGGUUGCCUGACAGGCUUGGCCACAAGCACCUUUACUAGCUGAGUCACCUUACAGUCCCAAAAUACUGCAUUCUCAUAGCAUUAACAGACUGAGACCAGCAGACACAAAAUCUGCUGUAAGGGGACCCUGGAGAUUCCAGAAGUCAUCAGCUUAGCAAGGAAACAUUGCUUUUGUAUGUCCAUCUCAAGAAAAUGCCAUAUGGCCAGGAAGUCACACAGAAGCAGCCAGCUUCGCUGCAUCCUGAGAGAAACACAUCAGGAUCACAAGUGAGGAGGAUGGUGAUCGAUUUCUCGCAGUCAAUGGCACUACACAAGGAGCAUUUAUCCCUCAGGAUGGGGCAGGACAGCAAACAUUAAGGAUCAUCUGCUGCGUCCAGCAAACAUUGGUCCAGUUUGUUCUCAUCAUGUGCUUGCAUCCCCUGGGGGGAGACCGCAGACUAUGGUGCUCUUGGUAGAACUUGGAUGACUCUGCCCUGCUUCAGUACGGAAUAGCUGCAAGGUGCUUUGACUCCACAUCUCUACUUGUGUGCAGUGAGCUCGGUGGUAUAUCUCCUGUCAAGAAUCAUCCCGAAAGUUAAGAUAAACAGUUCUGACUCAUUUCAGAGGUUAGCACAAGUACAGAAGUAACAGUGAAUAACUGUAGGAGCGGAGCCUCACAGUUCUCCCAGCAUUCUGUCAACUCCUUGGCUACAG
ensembl:lncRNA